rfam:Candidatus Kaiserbacteria bacterium RIFCSPLOWO2_12_FTLL_45_26 rifcsplowo2_12_scaffold_0, whole genome shotgun sequence.
UUAAAUUAGAGUUUGAUCCUAGCUCAGGAUGAAUGCUGGCGGCGUGGAUGAGGCAUGCAAGUCGAAUGGGUUUAGGCCCAUGGCAGACGAGGUAGGAACACGUAGGUACGUACCCCAAAGUCAGGGAUAACCCGGAGAAAUCCGGGAUAAUACUUGAUAGUCUCUUCGGAGUAAAGAUUUAUCGCUUUGGGAACGGCCUGCGGGCUAUCAGCUUGUUGGUAAGGUAACGGCUUACCAAGGCUACGACGGCUAGGGGAGGUGAGAGCCUGACCCCCACCGAUGGAACUGCGACACGGUCCAUACUCCUACGGGAGGCUGCAGUCGAGAAUCUUCCGCAAUGGACGAAAGUCUGACGGAGCGACGCCGCGUGGUGGAUGAAGUCCUUAGGGACGUAAACACCUUUUAUGAGGGAGAAAGUAUAUUGAUGUUACCUCAUGAAUAAGGGGCUCCCAACUCUGUGCCAGCAGGAGCGGUAAUACAGAGGCCCCAAGCAUUAUCCGGAUUUACUGGGCGUAAAGGGUGCGUAGGCGGUUAUAUUAGUCGGGUGUUAAAUCCUGGGGCUCAACCUCAGGUUCGCAUUCGAAACGGUAUGACUAGAAGGUGUGAGAGGUAAGCAGAACUCAUGGUGUAGGGGUGAAAUCCGUUGAUAUCAUGGGGAAUACCAAAUGCGAAGGCAGCUUACUGGCACAUUCUUGACGCUGAGGCACGAAAGCGUGGGUAGCGAAGCGGAUUAGAUACCCGCGUAGUCCACGCCCUAAACGCUGUCUGUUGGCUAUAGGGAGUAUCGACCCUCUCUGUGGCGAAGCUAACGCGUUAAACAGACCGCCUGGGUAGUACGAUCGCAAGAUUAAAACUCAAAGGAAUAGACGGGGGCUCGCACAAGCGGUGGAUCAUGUGGCUUAAUUCGUCGAUAAGCGAAGAACCUUACCAAGGCUAGAAACUAUACUGCACGCCUAGAGAAACCUAGGAAGCCUUCGAGGGUGUAUAGCAGGUGAUGCAUGGCCGUCGUCAGUUCGUGGCUUGAGCUGUUCCCUUAAGUGGGGAAACGAACGCAACCCUCGUUGUGUGUUAUAAGUAUCACACGAGACUGCUCCCUCACGGGAGAGGAAGGUGAGGAUGACGCCAGGUCAGCAUGUCCCUUGAUGCCUUGGGCUGCACACGUGAUACAAUGGGUGGUACAACGGGACGCAAUACGGUAACGUGGAGCAAAUCCUAAUAAAACCAUCCCCAGUUCGGAUUGAGGGCUGCAACUCGCCCUCAUGAAGUCGGAAUCGCUAGUAAUCGCGGAUCAGCAACGCCGCGGUGAAUACGUUCCCGAGCCUUGUACUCACCGCCCGUCAAGUCAGGGGAGUCGGGAGUGCCCGAAGUCCCACCUCGCGUGGGCCGACGGUAAGCUCGAUAACAAGGACUAAGUCGUAACAAGGCACGGCUAGCGGAAGCUGGUCGUGGAUUAAUUCCAAU